GUAAAUAUUUUGAGGUGAAUACCCUCUCUGUUGUUGUUCUCUGUGUAGACAGGUUAAGACUGUAAAUAACAUGAACCAAGAUAAUUAGGGAUCUCCUGGGGCAGCAGAACUGUAGGGUAAGAAACUAGGAAGGCUGAGAAACCAUUGGUCCUUCUAUUCUGGAGAAUUAUAAGUGGCCUGCCAUGCACAUAUCCUACACUCCCCCACCAAGGAAGUUAUGGUGUUGGUGCUGUGUCUCCUACUUUAUCCAUAUAGCUUGCUGCCUAAGUAUUUUAUUUUGACCACAGCCAACAGAUCACUGAAUGGGAAAGGUGCCAUCUGCCUCUACAGGACACUCUGUAGUACUACUUAGCUGUCCUAUUGCAGCAGAUAAGAAAUAGCAGAAAUAGCCUCAGGAAAACUCUAGAAGAACUUUCUCUGGUUUCUCCUACUCAGCAGUUUUUGUAGGAAUUUUCUAGAUUAGAGGGUAUUCUUCCUGUUUUCCUCAAAUGUUUUCAUUUUCUUCAUCAGUUGCUAGUGGCCACUUCAGGCCAGUGUACCUGUCUCUGAUAACUUUGGAGCUGACCAUACCAAGGCCAUCUUGGGAGACCUAUGUGAUCAGGGGAAGGUGAUUCCUUAAUCCAUGUCCUCUUGGGGCUGAGGGCACUUGGUUGGGAAUCUAGUGAUAGCUAGAAAUGUCUGGGAAGCUCAGGGAUCAUUUCUAUACUGGUUAGGAAUGCAAAUACCACAAAGCUGAGUUAUUGAGAAUUACCUGGGCUGAGCAGAGAGUGUAGGGUGAGAAGCAGGGAAGGCUGGAAAUCCCUGUAUGGUUCACAUGGCCAGUAUUUACUGAAGUUUCAUGGCAACCAGUGCAUAUGCAGGGAAAGGAUGCACGUUGGCCUAAGGACUAUGGUGGUGGAAGGCAAAGCAGGAAGCACCCACUCUUGCUCUCAGGAUCUUGCCACUGUUCUCAGUACCUCUCAGGAUCCAAAACAUUGCUUCCUUGAAGAAUAUCUUGCAAUAAAUCUGAGCCAGAUUGAGACUCUAUGUGGCUAAGACCACAGGCUAGUAGAUAGAAGCACUAGGCCUCAGAACAUAGUUGGGCAACACUGAAAUUUGUUUACCCCUGUUCCACCUGCAGUGAUCACAGCAGGGACAUGAAGGAAGCCUUGCAGUACAUUGCAUGCACGCAUGGACACAUUCAGAAGGACUGGCUCUGUGAGAGCUUCUCUCAGGAGGCUUCCUCAUCUCUUUCCACGCUGCAGUCCAGGCCAGGGUUUUCACCCUUCCUUGGGGAGAGACCAGCCAUACCAUUCUGGUUGUGGCCCCUCAGGCUUUCCUGGCACCCCUGGUGCCUCCUCUCUGCUUCCUUCACCCCCAUAUGGAGCAUCUCUGAGUUGGGUCCAUUCCUCAUGUCCCUGUCCUCUUUUCUGUUCUCUUCCCUCUGUCCAUGCUGAUGCAGUCUGCACUCAGAUCCACCUAAUUCUUGCCUGGAAUACUGCAGUCUCCUCUUCACUGGCUCCCUGUGAUUCCCAAAGCUAUGCUUCUCUGGCCAUGCUAUUCCCAGCCUUAAGAUGCUUCUAGGCAGCGUGGUUCCUGUUGGUGAGCUCUGAGCUCUGCAGUGGAUCUGCCUGACUCCUGAGCCUCAGCCUCCUGUGCUCCCUGCUCGGCCUCUGGGCUGUGGCCGCUGCUCCUGGGCCAUGGAUCCUCUCACCUGCCCCCACCCAGGUUAGGUGCCCACUGUUUGCCCACCCAGGGCUCUGCAGACCUCUGUCUAGCCGAGGUAGUCUUCUUUGCCGUUCCUGUUUGUUCUAGGCCAGCUGUAUCUGCUAUCCUUGUGGGUUCUCACACUCUGCACACCUUCCUCGGUGCCCUGGGGCUAAAGGAAGGAAGGAAAGGAUCAAUGGAUGCCCUCAGCAUGGGCUGUGUGUUCAGCAUGGCUGGCUUCUCUCCUGGACUGUUCUUUCUUGGUCUCCUCUGCCUUUUAUUUACCCUGGGCUGUGUCCACGGCUUCUGUGCAGAAUGCUAGAGGCCACCAGACUUGAGGAAGAAAAACCUGGGUGAUCCACAGUUCUCCUCACAGGCUGAUGCCACCAAGUGGUGAAAAAUGUGUCUUUUCAUUUCCUCUUUACUUCAUGGCCUGGCUCACUUUUCACUUGAAAAAUUCCCAAGUCCAGGCUUGUAAUGUGCUGUAUCCCAAACGAGGGCAGGAGUGCACAAAAAUGCAAAAGUAGCCUGGUGAUGACCCAGUGAUAGGAAGCUUGCCUGGAUGCAUGCCAAGGCCUUGGGUUCCAUCCCUGAUACUACAAGUUCAUAAAAUCAACAAAUGAGUGCUGGCCAUUUCCCAGCCAGGCUUCAAUCCCAUGACUUGAGGAUAGAAGCUGUCGUGUCAGGCCUGCAUACUUGUCUGGCUCUGCACUCUUGGUUCUUGCCAGCAGCCCACCUUUGCCCUUCUCUACCUCUCCAGCCACACAUAGCUAGGUUCCUGGCACUGACUCUUGCUAGUUGCAGGCUUAGGCUAGCCUUUCCCUGUGUCCACCCAGGACUUGUCCUUUAACUUCAUGCUGCUUUCAAGUCUCACCUUCCUGACGAGCCCCGGGAGCACCAAGAGCUCCUCUGUUGUACUGAGGAUCCGCUUCGUCAGCAUUGGCUCCACCGUCCUGUGUGGCAGCUGACAGUCUAUGGAUCUGAGGGAAAGCCCAGCCAUCCAGGAAAUUUCCUCCCAGAGUCCCUGCAGAGUUGUGAAGAUUGUUUCACUGCACCGUCUUCCUCCGUGGACUAGGAGAGCCUCAAGGUUAGCCAUUCCUUAGUGACAGGCCAGCUUGCUCUCCAGGACAGGUGACCUGAGACCCUGCAGAACACAUCUCCCUUGAGUUUGGGCCCGUUGAAUGAUGGUGUGAGCACUUGUCACUACAGGCUGCUCCCAAAUGCCCCAGCCUGUGCUUAGACCCGUCAGUCAGUGCUCUCACUGACAUAGCUGAGCACUCAAAGAUGGGACUCCAGAUGCCAAGUGCUUGUCUCACCUGUGUCGGAUGUGAGUCUGCUUCAGGAUUUCUCUACACAUCUGGCACACCAGUGUCAGGGCAACAGUGCGGCCAACUCCAAGUCCUGGACCCUGGACUUUGUUUUUGCUUCCUGGAGCACCAGCGUGACCUGGACUGGUAACACAGCACCUGUAAAGCAUAUCAGCCAAUCAAGCCCAAGCUACAGUUAGCACUGUGUGGAAGUCAUGGACACCUACCAGAUCUAUCACCAACUCCGAGAUGGGUGGCCUCAAGGAACUGUUCAAACUGAGAUUUGCCAAUGAUUUGAUCUUCAUGAAACGCUGGGUAAGCCCUGCACUGGGAUUGUGGAAAGGGAGCAUUGUUUCCUAGCUGAGGCAACCAGAAGAGGGGCCCACACAGGAACCCACUGCGGGAAUGGGGCCAAGGUUGGAGC
rnacentral:lncRNA from 1 species